GUAAAAAGAGUGUUUUCGCUAUGUUGCAGGACAUUUAUGAUGACGAGUACAAAUGGGCACUCGUGAAGAGUUUCGGACUAUUUUGCCUGGGU